ACCCUCUGUCCCUUCUCCCAGACGCAGAGAUUUCUUAUAGGAGGGCCCCUGCACAUUUUUUCUCUUCAUAAAGAAAUAGGGUAGAUUGCAGUUGUGAGCCUGUCUCCUCGCAGGUCAAGGUGAUAGGGCUCGUCAAGGUAGGGUGUACCCAGGCUGAUGCCAUUGAUCCCACGUUUGUCGAAUCGGUCGGAAUUCGGUAUGCAAGCUUCAGCAUCCGUAAAGUUGUCCGUGCGUGCGUGUUUGUUCUUUAGCUUCAGGUUAAGUCCAGGUAUCGUUCAUCUUGUGAAGGGGAGAUUGAGGUGAUGGCGAGGCAUUGAGAUUGCGAUAGUUUGUAGAGCGACGGGGUGGGACGCUUAGUACACAAGGUCGAGCAGUGGAAGGAUUACUGGGGUUCAGUAAUGCAGUUUAUCUCAAUUGGCGUGGAGUGAAGGAGUUGUAGUAUGCGUUGUGUGUCCCUGCUUCUUUAUCUGAAGGGACCCGAAUGCAACACAUGAUUUGUCUCACUAGUAAUAUUUUUCCGACAUUCAUCUGCGCAAGGAUCGUGGACGAAAUAAUAUAUAUCAAUUAAGUUGUAGAGAAUUACAUGAAACUUGUUGAGUAGUCAGCCUCGGUGAGUUGAAACUGAGAAUCAGUAGCUCUGAAGUGACCGAGAGCUGGUGCGAGGAGGAGCACGAUUGCUCGUCGGUUUUGAUAAUGGCUGUCUUAAGAGGCUUUCUUCGGAAUCCCUUCAACUGGUAGUUUGUACUUGUGUACCAGUUUUUGUGAACUUCCUGAGUACUAAAAGAAAUAAGAGGCAUCGGUGGGCGUGGUGACUGACUGCAGCGAAGCGUUUUGUAGAAGAGGAGUGGUGGAGGGAUUCAAUAAUAUCGCUGAGAUGACGACCAAGGGAGCUAGCAGGUCGGCGGCUACGGCAAUGGCAAUAGCAGGACGAGCGUCGCGAGCAUGCGACGUCUGCGCCAGCAAGAGCGCACGUUGGUACUGCGGUGCCGAUCGAGCGUAUCUCUGCGACAAGUGUGACACGCAAGUGCAUUCCGCCAAUGCUCUCGCGCGACGUCAUGAGCGACAUCGCCUCACCCCAAGCGGAGUCGCAAUGCAACCAGCUCGAAAACCCGCCGCUGACUUGAUGAAAGAUAAAACAUUUUCACAGCGAAAACAUACCAUAUCUAAGAAGACGCACGCAUCUCCAGUGCAGGUCCUGCCACCCAGAAAGCGAUCUAGGACCAGUAGACCUCAUCCUCAUCGUCAAGCUCAGCACAUUACUGAAGCCACACCUGCUUCGAAGCUGCACAAUGCGAAGGAUGUGGAGGUGGAGGACGAGUUCUUGACGGUCACAGACGCUUUUGAUACUGAGGAUUUCCUCGUGGACGAUACCCAAGAGGUGCCGUCGCUCAUCACGGUGGCCCAGGACUCCUCGCCGUCGAGCUCCGAGUUGGAUUUGUCGUCCGAUUUCUCUCCUGAAUUGAACAGCGACGCUCAGGGAGGUAGCAGCUCUCCAUCUUCAGACUCAUUUGUUGCCUAUUUCAAAGGAAAAGCGGCUCAAGAUGACUGCUUCUCCGACGACGUCAUGUCGGACCAGUUCCUGGUUCCCGAUGCAUUCGAUGACGGGAUCAAUAUCUGCUGCGACAUGGAUGGCAACAUUAGUCUUGCUGGAGAUGCGUGUUUCAUCUCUGGUGAUAUUCCGGGACUUGACGGGUUUGAGGAUUUUGGGUCCCGAGAAUUGAGUAAUAACACGUACAGUUUUGACCUUGCUCUUCGUGAUAGCUUACCGGGGGCUUUUGAGGGAGAUGGCGCGGCUACGUCUGACGCGAGAGGCACUUCCCUCAAGCAGAAUGUAGUUGGAGUAGAGAAUGAUCAAUUUUCCACUGGUCCUUUCGCCAAUUUUUUUGCGAAGAAUCGAAAGAGCGAAACAGUGCAUUCAAGCCCUGAGAACAUUAAGAAUGAAGCCAAGGAGAUUUUGCGGUGCUGCCUAGAAGGUCUUACUGAAGAAGAUAUGCGUACAGUUCCCUCCCUAAGAUUAAACUAUGAAGACGUCAUCACUGCCUGGUCUGACAGAGGCGAGCCCUGGGUCAAUCCCGAAAAUUUCCCUUCUGAGGCCACGGACGUGGGUCUAGUGCCUGACAUGGGGCAGGGAGGUGCCGAUGAUGGACAUGGAGGCCGGGAGGCUAGAGUGAUGAGAUACAAAGCGAAAAGGCGGAGUCGACUUUUUUCGAAGAAGAUUAGAUACGAAGUUAGGAAGCUCAAUGCAGAGAAGCGGCCUCGUAUGAAGGUUAGUUUCCCUUUAGUAGUUACUGCUCAAUAGCGUUUUAGAGGUAUGGAGCGACUGUUUAGGUUUACACCUCCUUCAUCGCUAGCGAAAUCGGUUGAAGCUGUACGUCAGGAAGAAGAUCUCUGCAGGGCCGGUUUGUGAAGAGGACAAAGAGUUCUUGAUUAGGCUCCAGUCCCGCCCAACAGCGAGCUCUGCAAUGGAGAUUUCAGUACAGCCUCGGAGCUCGCAUUUCUUGUAGUUUAUUAACCCUCACACAUCAAAAGAAAGAACAUGCUUAGACCCAUAUAAGGGAGGAGUGUGACGGGAACCUUAGAGGUAGAGAGGGUGAGCAUAAACCAUGGUUUGGUGUAAGUUUGUGAUGAUUUCAAAUCACGUGUAGACACUCCCAAGGUAGCAAUGGACGGACAGCGGCGACUAUGACUGCGAUGACGAUGACAGCUGAACUAAUUGCAGCAUCUUGUGUGUUCUGCCGUCAUUGCGAUGACGUUGAGUUUAGUAGAAGCCGAUUUCUGCGAAGUAAGCAACGCGGUGAUACAUACGUAGGACUUACGUGAAUGGAGGUGGUGAUGAUCUUCUCAAGAAGACGAAGAAACUUUGAUUGCAGCAGGGAAAAUGGAUUGGAUUCAUUGGCAGUCGUGUAGCCCUCGCCGUGAUCCUGCGGCGAGGAGAAGGAAGUGGAGGAACAAGAGCUGAAGGCUCUCACCUAUCAAUGUAGCUCUGCAACACUUGAACAUCUAAUUUGAUGCUCAGUACAAAUCUUUUCGUUUUUAUUUCCCCGUU